UGUCAGUCACGUGGUUUUCAGCAAGAUGACACAAGCCUCGAAGCGAGGUUUCAUCAGACACUCCCCCCUUUUUACUCGGUACAAGCCUCGAAGCCUGGAUUCAGAUGGUCCAUCUCUACAAGCUGAUCCUCCCGCUGCUGGGCCGGAAAGGAUUCUCUGGUUGGGGUGGAGUCACCCAGCUCUGGCUGAGAGCUGAAGGCGGUGGGGGGCCUCCAGAGGGACUGGAUCUGUGUGCUGUGCGAGUGACCGGUGUUGGGAUUUCUUCACGAUCGAGAGUCUGUUCACAAGUGCUUGGUGUGAUUUAUUUGGAUUCAUUAAUUUGUUUUAGGAACCAGUUCCCAUUUGGACUGCCCUCCCCCUGCUGGUAGGCCUCAGUACUGUGCACUUCCCUUCCCAUUGUGGUUCCUUGUGUUUUGUUUGUCUUUUUAAAAAACAAACAAGAAACAAUAAAAUGUAAUUUUUUGGAAUCAGUCUUGUUCUCAUUGGUCAUGAACCUUGGUGCCUACUGGCGAGUCCAUUUCCUGGGGUGCAAUUCCCAAGGUGACAUUGAUAUCCUGGUUACACUGCUGUGAGGGGGAGAGUAUCAGAUCCAUACCCUUGUGUUGCCACAACUGGAAUUCAUGAGAUCAUUGUUAUAAUUUCUACUUUAGCUUUGUUUCCAUUUCACUUUUGUCUGUUGUGAGGGAUUUACCCCCUCCCUAACAGGUGCUGUUUUUUGAGUACUUUACAGUAUAUAUUCUAAUUUAUUUGGGUAAAUGUAUUGUUUGGGGAAGUAACUUGAUUUAUUUACUUGUUUUAAUCAUCUUCUCAUCUCUUUGAGGUCAUGUGUUGCCAUGGAAGCGCGCCCAUGAGAAAUGCUGACAAGGACCUGGUAUUUUCAAUCAGCCUCAUUGGGAAAAUCCACUGUCUGAGAGGGAGGAGAGAUGUAUUUUUGAUUUUGUUUGGAUCCAGAUUGUUUGUUUCUAGCUUUGUUUGAGUUAAUUGUAACUGUAAACAUUUUUUUUUAGGAAUAUAGUUUAGUAUAAAUGCUUGUUCUAUGUGGAAAUGUGAAUGUCUCCACCCCUAUAAUUAGUCCUGUUACAUUGCUUUGAGUUAAACCUAAUGUUUUAUGAUGGAUAUAGCAUCUAUGAAAGUAUUAAUAAUUUAGACAUAUUUACCUGAACUGUAAAACUAAAAAAGGUGACUGUUUUUCUCCUUCAUGUAAAAAUGUGAUUCUUGAAUAAAUUCAACCUUUUGAAUACAAAGUCAUUAAACAAGAAAGCUGAAACCUAAAAUGUUGAAAAUAGAUGAAAACACUGAUAAAAAACUGAACAUAGUGAAAACAUGUACAGAAUAUAUAAACUGUAAAUAUCUGGAUAAUCCAGAUCAGCUUAAUUUUCAUCAUGACUUUGUGAAUCUAUGGAAAGUUUGUGUUUGUAUUUUGCUUCUAAAUGCUCAGUUGUUCAUUGUCGUCCUGAUUUAAUAGCUGAUAAACUACACAUCUGACAAACAGGAUCUAAAAGUAUUCUUAUUAAAACGUACCUUCUGCUGCUGUUUGUUCUUCCUGCUGGUCUUUCUAUCCAAACCCAGUGUGUGUUGCUAAUCUCCAAUAUGCUGUGAAGCUGUGAUGCUUUGACCUCAGUGCUGCUGWGGCUCCUUCCUUUAUCAAUGUCAGAACUGCCUAUUAUAUUAACCAUGAUGGAAAUGAUCAUAAAGAAUGAUGCAUUUAUUCAAAGUAAGCACCUUCACACAAACUUAAUGGGUUGGCUCAUAAUCUAUCAAUCUAGUUAGUAAUUUGCAAAUCAAAUCAUUUAUAAUUAGACCACAUGUUGGUGUCCAGGUGGUGGGGAUAAGUUUGGUUUCCUUUUCAGUUCUUCGCCAGUCCACCAGAGGGAGCCAUUGGGUCACUCUGCUGGGGAUGGCGUGCCUGCAUGCUCUCAACUAUCCACACCUGAGAGGAAUCAUCAACCUCUAGAGGAGUAUAUGAGCAGCAGACAGCCAACACUUCCUUGCCAGAGUGUUUGCCAGUUUUUGGUUCUCUAGCUCCUCAGUGUGUUUAGUCUAAAGAUCUCUUGUGUUUUGCUAUGAGUUUAUUCAGGCUCUCACCGUAUUCUUGUGACUCUCCUUCAGGAAUCCUUUGAGGCCCUUGGGGUUGGUUUCCUCUAGUCCGCCAGUCCUGAAGAAACCCUUUUUUCUUGACUCCUCUGGUGUCUGCUCUGCAGCUCCUCUGUGGUGACAUAUCUGACCUCCCCACCCUCCAACACCUGGUCGAUCUCCAGUUAGCCUACAUCAGCUCUCUCCUCUAUCUGGAACCACGUACCUCCACCCAUCAUCCUUCACUUGUUUUUCAAGCAAGAACAGAACUCCCGGCCAUUAGUUAUCUCCUUUUCCACCCCCUGUGAACCUAUCUAACCCCUCUUCUCCUGUGUGCAGAUGCACCUGGACUCUGACCCGCUGACCCUUCUAGCCGUGUUUCUUUGUUUGAUUUUGUAUUAUUGCAAUAGAACAUCUUUUUUUUUUA